GGCCCUUUUGGAAACGAUACGUAAUAGUCGGUUGAAACUGCCCCCUCCCUCAUGAUGCACCUUCAGAGCCGCUCUCCUUAAGUGCAUUACUACGUGCAUUUUUGCCCUUCAUUAGUGCGUUACGUGCCACUAUCUCUAGUGGCCAAGUCAUUUUCUGUACUUAUGAAAAGUAUUUUUAAAAAAAAAUUAUUAAUACAUGGAAGGCGAUGCUCAUACAAAUUCUUUCUUUUAAUUUAUGCUAAUGAACUACGUAUUAAAUCCUAAGGAACAAUGUCGCGUGCAAACCUUACACAAAUAGUUCCUUUUGAUAUCUCAUAAAGUUUCGUUCAGUCUAAAUAUGUCCAUCGAAGGUACAUACAUAGGACCACGUUCAGUCGAUGGGUAUCAUACUUUUCGGCAAAUCAGUAUGAUCGACAAAAAUGAAAGUCCGGGAGACAGGUAUUUUAGGACCAUUGACGUACUUAUGUGUCAUUGAACUAAUUAUUUUAAUAACGGGAUGUUUCAUUUUUUUUGUUUCAGGAAAACAUCUGAUACUCGUAACAGAUCCUGAAAAAGGUGGUGACUUCGCAUUUGACAACCCUGGAUUCAGAGAGGGAACUCCCAUAAAUCAUGUAAAUCACGAGAAGGAAGAGGGGAAGGUAAGCAUCUUUACAGCUGUAUUUUUUUUCAUAUUUUUUCAGCAUCGACUUAUUCCAUUUCUUACGGAAGGUCUUAUGCCACUUAAGAUCACCCACAGCUGAAAAUGAGUUACAAGAUUUUGCAACUUUUAAGCCUCGCCUCUGAAUUUCUACUUACGAAAUCACCAAGAUAUUGUUAAAAAAAAGCUUUUAGCUGGAAGUCGAAAAUCCCGCUUACGAGAAUUAGAAUCUUUCUUUAUUUUUUAAAUCUUCACAGAAUUUUGAAUUGAUUAAUGACGAGUGGCAUUUCACCGCGUAUGUUUGUGGUUUUAUGUCCUCUUAUCAAUUUGAACAUCUCUCGACAGUUCAAGCAUCGUUCUCAAUGUUGUAUUGGUUCAUUUAUACAUGGUCACUCGAGCUAGUGAAAAUUAAUGAUCGAAUUUGGUAAAGGAAUUUCACGAACGAGUCAUUUUAUUUUAAAACAGGAGCAAAAUGUUUAUUUUUAAAAAUGAGCACGAGACUUAAAUCCCAUUUUCGAGAAAUAAUCAUAACUCAUCAAAUUAUUCAUGAUGAAAUCAGUUUCAGCCUGUCAACUCGAUUUUCAGCACGGGUGGAUUAUUAAUUGUUUUAUGUUGUACUCUGUCCGUUUUAUUUUCCAUCGCCGUUCCCUUCACCGAACCUGACCAAUGACCAUACGACCGGUCCUAUAUUACUCCCCGCGGGAGGUUCUCGGUAUCCCGGUGAAUCGUUCCGCAAAGAAAUGACGUCAUGGAACUAAACCAAACUAAGUUGAGUCACUCUUUCCUACGUCACAUACGAAAGGUAGCACAAUGUCUUGCAAAAAGCACUGUCGAGUCUGAUAUUCUGCAUGCGCGAUGCUGUCCUGAUGGCAUCCAAAAAGAGAAUGAGAGAUGCUAGCUUCCGGGGAAUCUCCACAUUGACAGAUUCUAACAGCGGUUAGGCGUCGCAGAGCGCCCUCGUGAGCUAAAAAAGCGACUAAUACUUACCAGCAGGGCCGGAUUAAGGGUGUGGCCACAUGGGCCGCGGCUCAUGACGGCAAAUCUAGGGGGCGGCAAAUUUUGCAAUUUUUUAAAUGUAGGUAUAAAAAAAAUCGGAUUUAGAAAAAAAUUACAAACGAGAAAAGGCUACAAAAUCUCUCAUUUCCUGAGAGUAUAGUAAUUUCUAAUUUUGUCGUCUCUCAGUGAUACAAGAGACAGCACCUUUAAUUAGUCGAGUUAAGAGAGAAACCAAACACACAAUUUGGCCUGGAACUUUGGGAGAAAUUAUGACGAGGAUUUGAGAUGAAAAGGAGAAGCCCUCGGCGCGGCAAUCGGCAUGUAACACAUAUUAGCGCCUACAAGACUCCACGAAUACUUCACGCAUUGCAUCAAAUACAGUGCGGUUAUUGUGGUCAGCGUGAAACGGAUAGCGCCUACAAGACUGCGUGAAUACUUCACGCAUUGCGCCAAACACGGUGCGGUCGGCGCGGCGCGGCGGCGGAAGUUAUAAUCAUUACAUCAAAUUUUGUGUUUAAUUGUUCGUUCAUAAUUUUUUUGUUCAUUUCUUAUGAAUGGAAGGCCUUGUCCAUGAGAGAUAGGUUUCAUAAUGAAUGAGUAGGGGGCGGAAAAAUACAGGCGGCCCGUGGGCGGCAAGUAGGAAAAUUCGGCCCUGCUUACCUGUGGCGUGGCGUGAAUUGCGAUAUAUCGAUUGUUAUGCCAUUUAAACUCAUGGUAAAGAAUCGAUUAUUAAGGUGUUCGCUGCAAACACUCUGUUAAUCGAUCCUUUUCCAUAGGUUUAAAUGCCAUAACAAUCGAUAUAUCGCAGAGCACGCCACGCCACUGAUACUUACAUACCAUUUCAUUUAAUUAUAGGUCUGGAUCGAUGUCUUCGGGGCUAUCCCCUAAAAUUGUGGUACUAUCCUAAUUUGUUGGAUGGUACGGACAUGUCCAAUUGAGAGGCUUGGAGUACAAGGCAAGGCGUAUAAGUGCAGUUUUUGCUAUUUCGAGAAAUACGUGUUGGAAGUUUCAAAAUUACUUGGAUCUUUAUGGCGGAAAGAACGUUCAAACUGACUUUCGAUGCUAAAAAAUUGGAAUUUUAGAGCGAAUUUUUCAUAAAAUAUGCAUUAAGACUAGUUUUACUUGAAAUCAUUAAUAUCUCAAGUUUUUCAAAGCUGCACUCGUGCGCCUUUUCCUCCAAGCCCCUCAGUUAAUUGUAGUAGUAGUAUACCACAACAUUUUGGUUAGUAACCUAAGUUAUUGGGGUUCUACCGCAAUUAAUUGGAAUUGCCCGUCUAACAGCUCCUUCCUCUUUUUUCCGUGUUUCCAUGAAUUUAACCAAUGUUUGUGAGUACAUAAUACUCGCGAUUCAUUCCUAUAUGCGGGACAUAAAGGAAUAGGGGGAAAUAUUCACUUGGUAGUAUAGCCGAUAAAAGCUGGAUAUUAUUCUCCGCGAGGUUGCCCCUGCGGGCUGAUUAUUGGAAUUGAUAGACAAAGCGGUAGUCAAAGAAGACAAACUGAAAAUAAAGCGAUCCUAUCAAUGAAAGCGGGUGGUUGCAAUAGACAAAGGAGGUAAGUGAUAGACUAACGGCAACCCACGAAAGACCCGAUAGUUAGUCCAUUUUCUCCCCUUAGUCUGUAACGACCACCCGUUUCAACGAAUAAGAUCGUUACAUGAUCCCUAUGUCUUCUUUGUCUAUUGCCUUGUCUAUCAAUUUCAAUAAUCAGCCCUCUGAUGGGAUGGAAGGCUUACACCUCUAUCACGGGUGUCAGCCGCACAGAUGGACAGGUUAGGACUCGGGAGAGGUUUAGGCGAGGAUUAUCGUCUAUUCUUCUUGGCUUUGCGGACGUGACUAGCGGAGGUGUUGGAUCCGCGCUACCAUACUCGAUUGUCGGUGGAAUCAGGUGCAUGAGUCAUGAGUCACCAAAGCCGAUCGGAGGGAACAGGAGGCAAGAAGGGCCGAGCCCCGCCGAUGCACCAGGGAUCAGCGGAUAAGGCAAACUGUGCCCAAGGAGGAACAAUAGAAGGUCAAAACAUGAGUUGAUACGCUGGAUUUACCUGCAAUGUUGCGCGGCGGGUGAGAUAUGUCAAGAUUCGUUACACGUGUUAUGUGCGUGCAGUUGACAAGUGUACGCACACUCCGAUGAGCCUCGGUUUUUUCGGUGGGUCUUCAGAAUCUUGAAGAAUGAGUCGAUAGUUCAGGCGGUGUCUAGCAUUAAGAUUUUCCCGAUUCAAUCAGGAUUUGAGAAAAGUCGGCCGUCCGAUCAGAUUUUACUAUCGAGCUAUUUUUGUGAAGUUACAUUCGCCUUGCCUGAAGUCAUGAUUUGAUCAGGAUUUGGAAAAAUUAUGAAAUCAGGAUUUAGCAGUCAAAAAUCAGGAUUCCCCAAUAUGAAAAAAAAACUAGACACCCUGUAGUUGAUCAUACAAUCGUCGCUGCUGGAGCGAGCAGCCUGAAAAAUUGUGCAUAAUCAAAUGGGCCUGAAGCAUCAAGUUUCGUGAUGCCUCCUCAAAAUUUCACGUAAUAAGUUAUUCACGCAACGGGAGAUACGGAAAUCAACGCCUGAGGAGAAAUUAAAAUAUACACUGAUCAAAUGGAACGUAAAUCGUGCAAGUAACUCCUCGUUUGUUUUUUGCUCAUCUCAGAUGAUUCCUCCCAAGAAAUAAGCAAAGAUUGAUCUAUCGAACAAAUGUUGCUAAACUACGAGUAUUGUUUUUCACUCCUUGCAAAAAAAGAAACCGUUUAGAAGUAUUCUUCAGCAGUCUAUUGGUGAAAAAUCUCUUCCGAAAACCCUAAAUUAA
rnacentral:lncRNA from 1 species